ACCUGUGACCCCAGGAGGGGAUACAGGAGUUGGGGGGACCUUCAGAGAUGAGAGGUAGUGUGUCCCGGGACCCCUGGGGCUGGCUUUGGGGCAGAGGCUAAAGCCAAGGCCCUCCCCAUUAGGCCUCUGGAGUCAGCACAGUUACUGCAUCCCCAAACAGUGAUUCCAGAUCCUGCCUGGAAAUGGGGAUCAUGAGAAUUCUCUCCACUGAACGGUGCGUGAGGCCUGAGCCAGUGUGCCUGGAACGUCCUGAGGACCAGUGGGGCCGGGGCCUGGACAGGGCCUGGGUGCUGGGAGGCAGGCUCUGCAGGUGCAGCUGGAGCUUCAAAGUGUGAGCAUUGGGCCAGGAGGACCACAGCCUGGCUGAUCCAGGGGAGAGAAGUCAUUUCUGAGGUUCUGGAAAUGACAGCCAUCGAGAUGGGGUCUCACUAUGCUGCCCAGACUGGUCUCAAACACUUGGACUUGAGCAAUCCUCCCAGCUCGGCCUCCCAAAGCACUGGAUUACAGGCAUGAACCACCACAGCCAGCCUGGGGAGAGAUUUAUCGAGCAACUUCUAUGUGCCAGGCACUGUGUCAGGGGGAGACACAGACAACAAACAAGGGGAUAAGUGAGAAAGAAGGAAAAUCAAUCAAUGAUUAAAACGGCUAUGGAGAAAAAUAAAGCAGGGGAGGCCC